rnacentral:tRNA from 1 species
GUGGACGUAGCUCAGUUGGUAGAGCCCCGGAUUGUGAUUUCGGUUGUCGUGGGUUCGAGUCCCAUCGUUCACCCCA